CCGGACCUUCAGACAGUCUCCAUGCUCAGCCUGGUUCUGCAGAAGGUUUCCACCUCUGAUGCAGUUUCAUCUUUCGAAGCUCAAGAAUGAUAUAACCCAGCACUUUCAGAGUAUGACGUGGAACUGCUGUGAUAACUGGAUUUCGCCAUGUGGGGUGAACUAAGGUUCGUCUUAUCUUGACCAAAGUGCUUCUUGCUCGUGUCAAAGAGUCACAUUCUGCUGAAGUCUGCUUACAGAAACUCCAAGCUGCCAAUGACCUCCUCCUUUCCUGUUCCUUUGUGAGGCAUGAAAAUGUUUAUGCAUUAAUUCCUUCAUCUGCCUGUUGUUGACUAAUUCUUCCUCUUUGGCAGAUGAUGUGUAUGAUUUCUUCAUACAUAGUAUGCACCCGUUGCUACAAUUCAGUUCAUUUGCAUUUAUACGAUAGCACUGAUUACAGUCGUUGUUUCAUUCAAAGCUUAUUUCAUUUUUUUUAUUGUGUCCAUGAAAUAUUUACCAAGUUCACAUCUAAAAAAAAAAGCGUUUUAAUAGAUGAAGAGUUUCUGUUAUUUAUCUUCCUUUCAUUUAUUUUCAUAAUUUCUACUAACAUGCGUUCAUUGGGAUGAGGCAUUCCCCUGAACCCCCGACUUGUCCCAGUCUGGAGCUCUCUGGCGCCCCUCAGAGGGGCCUCGCCCCGCGCUUUGGGAACCACCUGCUGGGGUCAGUCCAAGCAUGAGUGAUGUUGCGGUGUGUGGGACGAGGCUGCAGCUCGGUUUCCCAGGAAACACAGAUGGUGGAUGGAGGGGGCGCAGACAAAGGACCAUAAACCUGCAGACCGAGAGCCCGGCCCCCCUCCCCCGUCCAGCCACAGCAGCCUCUCCUCUCAUUAAAACCCAUUCUCUUCGUCCUGCGGCUCCCGUCUUUCCGGACCGGAGCCCCCCUCCCGGACCGGACCCCCCCCCUCCUCCCGGACCGGACUCCGUCAGGGCGCAGCUGCUGCUGUCGGCACUCCCACAUCUGCGGCUCUCCGCACGGCGGCCAUGGAGAGAAAGAGAGGACGUCUUCACUGCCGCUGCACCCGCAAUCACCGCAACACAACCACGCAAACACACGCGCACGACCAGCCUGGAUGAUCCUCAUCAUGGGAGCUGGAGGAGAAGAAAGAGAAGGCGAGGAGGGAGGAGAGUCAUCCUCCCGGCGUUUGUUGCUGCAUGUGGGACCUGAUCACUGGUAACCUGGUGCUGCAUGGACUCAUGGAUUCAUCUGCAGAGCUGCUCUCCAGUCAGGAUGGAACCAGCAUCAGGACAGGUUAUGUGCACAGCCUGGAAUAUCUUUAUAAAAUCACUGUUGAUUUCACGUGAUUGAUCUUUUAGCUGGGGAUGUUUUUCAGUUUCACUCAUCUCAGGCUAACUAGAAGAAACAACAAACAGAGGAGAAAUAGUCCCUGGGGCAUUUUGGGCGGACAGUUGGGUGGCGUCCCACUUUUCUGCUGCUUUGUGUUGUGUGUUCUUCUCCAGUUACACUGAUGAAAAGGCAGAUCUGGACCCGACAGGACCUCACUGUGCUCCGUCCCGGUGGCUCCUCUCCAUCGCCCUCUGCUGAGCCGCCUCGCUCCCCGUGACUGAUGCAUGAUGGGAAUUCUGCUGCCCUGUACACCUUCAGAAGGAGGGAGUCCGAGUUUCCCCACUAACAACCCGCUUCCACUAAAUUCAUUAAGAGUUAAAAGUCCUU